rnacentral:rRNA from 1 species
UACGAAGGGGGCUAGCGUUGUUCGGAUUUACUGGGCGUAAAGCGCACGUAGGCGGAUCUUUAAGUCAGAGGUGAAAUCCCAAGGCUCAACCUUGGAACUGCCUUUGAUACUGGGGAUCUUGAGUCCGGGAGAGGUGAGUGGAACUGCGAGUGUAGAGGUGAAAUUCGUAGAUAUUCGCAAGAACACCAGUGGCGAAGGCGGCUCACUGGCACGGUACUGACGCUGAGGUGCGAAAGCGUGGGGAGCAAACAGG